UACGUAGGGCGCAAGCGUUGUCCGGAAUUAUUGGGCGUAAAGAGCUCGUAGGCGGUUUGUCGCGUCUGUCGUGAAAGCUUGGGGCUUAACCCCAAGUCUGCGGUGGAUACGGGCAGACUAGAGGCAGGUAGGGGAGAACGGAAUUCCCGGUGUAGCGGUGAAAUGCGCAGAUAUCGGGAGGAACACCGAUGGCGAAGGCAGAUCUCUGGGCCGUAACUGACGCUGAGGAGCGAAAGCAUGGGGAGCGAACAGG
rnacentral:rRNA from 1 species